rnacentral:rRNA from 1 species
UACGUAGGAGACGAGCGUUGUCCGGAGUUACUGGGCGUAAAGCGCGCGCAGGCGGCCCGCGAGGUGUCACGUGAAAGCCCCGGGCUCAACCCGGGAGGGUCGUGGCAAACCGGCGGGCUUGAGGCCGGUAGAGGUGGGUGGAACUCCUGGUGGAGUGGUGAAAUGCGUAGAGAUCAGGAAGAACACCCGUGGCGAAGGCGGCCCACUGGGCCGGUACUGACGCUGAGGCGCGAAGGCGUGGGGAGCGAACGGG